UCCCUUGGUCUGGCCCAGUGGCUCACCCUUUCCUGUAGUUAAUAAUUUGCUCGAUAGAUGCUUAUGAAGGGGCUCGUUCACGUGCCAUGGGAAGUGGUAGAAUGUGGCGGGGAAAAGCAGGUUCUGGGUCUUAACAUCUGUGUUCACAUCCAGUCCUGACUUGUCUCAGAUAUGUGGCCCCGGUGAGUUAUACAGCCUCGCAGGAGCUCCGUUUCCAUACCUUUUAAAGAGGAUGGAUAAUUGUCCUACCCCACGAAGUUUUGUGAUGAUCAGAUGAGAUUAAUGCAGGGGAUGUGCUUAGAAUAAGGCCCUGGCACAUUGUAAAUGCUCAGUAAAUACUGGCUACUGUUACAAUAAAAACAGUAUUCCUUCCCGCCGUGGCUCAGCAGUUAACUCGAUUAGCAUCCAUGAGGACGCAGGUCUGAUCCAUGGCCUCACUCAGUGGGUUAAGAAUCCGGUAUUGCCGUGAGCUGUGGUGUAGGUCGCAGACGUGGCUCAGAUCCUGCGUUGCUGUGGCUCUGGUGUAGGCCGGCGGCUACAGCUCUAAUUCAACCCCUAGCCUGGAACCUCCAUAUGCCACGGGUGUGGCCCCCAAAAGCAAAAUUAUUAUUAUUAGACACUGUUUGCUCAGAAUGUAGCUGGGAAUCCAAUAGCCAUGGUUUCUUCCCUCAAGAAGCUGACAAGCCAGGAUGAGAGACAAACACUCGACAAACGUGUGCUGAUGUGUUAAAAUAAAAGCAGCAGGUACAGAGCUUCGGCUCCUAUGACCUGGCUACUGCACCCUUCUGUUCGCCGGCUCUCCAGCCCAUCUCUCCUCAGCUCUGUCACUGGCCUGGUGUUCUCUUUCCUUCCAAACGCAGUGACUCCACCAGACUCUGUGGUUGUCUCCUCCCCACGCCCCUGACACCCACCCCAUCUCUUCUGGGGAGGCAGCAGGGGAGCCUCGGAGGAGUGGAAGGCUUCGCAUCAUCAGGAAUCAUGGGGCGGGGGCAGGGGCGGGGCAGCAGCAGGCAGUGCUCAAGUGUGGGUGCACCUGCCUUCUUGGAGAGAGAUGGCUUCGGGUAGCCCCUCCACCCGGCGGUCCCGGCUCCCACAAGGCACCCACUGUCUCUGUGACUCACUUUAACCAUCUCUAAAAAGGAGAUGAUAAUACUCCGUACAUGGGUUAGUUGACCUUGUGUGUGUGUGUGUGUGUGUGUGUGUGUGUGUGNUGUACAUGGGUUAUGCUUGGUCCACACCGCGCUGGGGGCAGCUGUCAGUGGUAGCUCUGGCUCUGGUGAACCUGGAGCAUCCCUGGCGGCAUGGUUAUUAGAGCACAGUGUCUGGAACACAGAAGUUGCCGUGCAGUGCAAUUCAGUCUUGUGUGCUUACCGAGCGAGGACCCGGGGAGGCAAAGGUGACAGAGACGGGCUCAUGGCCUUGAAGGGGUUCGCAGUGCGGAUCUGAUGCCAGCCGAGCUCUGGAAGACCAUCAAACCGAGGGUGCUCAGAAAGAAGACAGUUCUGCGCAGGCCAUCAGCCACUAGAGCUUAAAGAGUCAGAAAAGUGUCGGUGGGGAGAUGAGGUGGGAGGAAGGGCAUUCUGACGGGAAGGCACUGGAAAGUGGACAAGCAAGGGCGCUGAGGUGGGCGGCUGUGCAGGGCUCUGGGCUCUGACUGUGGUGCCUGCAGCGCAGUGGUCACGGAGGGGCUUGCGUCUGGAAGGCAGGCUGGGCUCGCAGUGGAGGGUUUUAGGCUGUUAAGGGGUUUGCAGCUAACUACGUGUUUGAGCUAAAAAAAUGCAUUGUCCUUGAAUGACUUGAAGAAUCCAUCAGGAAGAUCGUAGCUUGUAAGGAGAAGACAAAUUUAAAAGAAGAUUUGUAAAAUGAGGAAGUAAAGCCAAGUUGAAUCGUGCCGGCAGCAUCACCUUCUUUGUUUCUGCUGGCAAAGGACUCUGUCAUUAAGUCAAAGCACUGCGGCAGCCGCCAUCAGAUUAAAAUUGUCAACAGAUUUCCAUGUGUAAUAGAACCUUUAAACUUUUUUUAUUGCUUAAAAAAGGAACAGGGUGCCAAAGCCACAGACUCACUGUUAUUAAGCUUUGGUAUUUGAGCCUGGCUACGUGAGGAAAUCAGCUAAAAUUUCCCCCAUCUGACCUUAUGUAGUCUGUCCAUAUCUGAACCUCCCGGCAGCUCCCUGUUACCCAAAGAAUAAUCUCCAAACUCUUCAGUGUGGUUUAUGUCUGCUUUACCCCACCAGCCUCUCCCCUCAUUACUCUUCCCGGUACCCCGCCCUCGGCCCACAGUGAGCACCUUGUGGGUGCUGGAACCGUGCUUUGCACCCACUCUCCUCCGUGCCUUUCCUCUCUAUCUUCUUGCCCUGGUUCAUUUCAUCCCAUCAUAUCCAAAACCCUGCUCCAAGGCCACUUGCUCAGAUAAGGCUUCCUGAGCUCUGUCUUGGGCAGUGCCCCUCAUUCGUUCUUGCAUGACAACCCGUGUCUAUCUUUAUCAUCUUAACUCUUCUGCCAUGUUGUAAUUGCUCAUUUAGCAGAAGAUCUCCACCUGCCCAUGAGACCCUCAGGGCAAGAACUGCCUCUCUCGGCCGUAUAUCUGGAGUGCCUAGAAUGUGUCGUAUGGACAAAAAGAGUUUCUGAACUGCAGAGGAGCAGUCCUAGAAGUCCAAGAUAUUGUAUUGUUUGCCUCAACAAGACCUUAAGAUCUUUCAGGACCCUGGAGACAGCAUCUAAUCUUAAGCACUUAGUAUGAAAGAAAUGGAAGAAUCCAUCCUGGGAAUGCGAAGGAUGGGGUCCUCUGGAGGAUUGAAGAAGCAUUGGCCUUGACCUAGGCCAGUGUGCAGACAUGGGCUUGGACCUGCUUUGGAGUCAGCUGGUCUACCUGCUAAACAUUCAGAUUUCUGAGCGCCUGCUUUGUAUUUCCUAAAUCAAACUCUUGGAGAACAGAGCCGGUGGUGGUGGUGGGGGGUGUUUUUAACAUGUUCCCCCUGGUGAUUCUGAUCCACCCUGAUGCAUGAGAACUCCUGAUGGAGACAAAGUCUUCAAUCAAUGAAAUAUCGGUAGUUGUAGGAUGGAAGGGGAGACUGAGAAGAAUCAAUGCAUAUUGACGUAGUUUUUAUAGUUCAAGAAUUCUCAGUAAGGAGUUCUUGUCAUUGCUCAUCAGAAAAGAAUCUGACUAGUAGCCACGAGGACGAGGGUUCAAUCCCUGGCCUCACUCAGUGGGUUAAGGAUCCGGUGUUGCCGUGAGCUGUGGUAUAGGUCGCAGAUGCGCCUCGGAUCUGGUAUAUGCUGUGGCAUAUAAAGCAGCUACAGCUCAGUUUGGAUCCCUAGCCUGGGAACCUCCAUAUGCCUGGGUGUGGCCCUAAAAAGACAACAACAAAAAGAAUUCUCAGCAAGAUUCGAACCCUUUGAGUAAACUGUAUACUAUGCCAGUUGUCACAGGACAGUGGCUUUGUCCUCUCUUUGGCUUCCUUCAUUCUAUGAUUUUUGAAACAUUUAUAACAAGGAACGGGACCAAGAUUUUCCGGUUAUCAUCUUAUCCUGCUUGGAUAUUGGAACAAAGGCCAUAGACACAAGGGAUCAGAGCAGCUUGACAGGUGAGGAGACGUAGUUAGAAGCACACCUGCUGUGGAGGGAGUCAGUGUCAUCUGUGUCCCUCAGGGUGCAAACAGAUAUAAACAGAAUGCUCUGUAGGACCCCUGAGGUAACAGGUCUGCCGGUGUUUUGCCUUCUGGUUCCAAAGAAUAAAUUGUAAAUUUACAGACAGGAGCUCUCAGCCUCCUGACCAUGGACUCCUCUCAGUCUGGAGAAGACGGGAGGAGUGUGAGGUGUGGGGGCUCUGAUGCCACUCAAGUCGGGGAGACCAGUGCCUUCCGCUGAGAACAGGAAAAAGAGGGGACGAGGGCAUCCAGCUGGGCUUUUCUGCUGUCUCUCAUUGUUCGAGACGGCUGACCUCUCUGCCACUGGCCCUUUCCUUCCUAGGAUGAACGGUAGUUGAGUUAUCACAGAGAGGGAAGCUCUGGACCACGUGGUGGCUGAAACGAAGGGGAGAUAGUGGUGGUCGCCCCCUGAUUGGGGUGGGGAUGGAAAGGCUUAGUGGUGAAGCCCUGCUCAAAAUAAUGCUGUCACCAUUAGACAAAAAACAUCAACAGAUAGUAGAAGCACGGCUCUGAAACUCCCCUCACCUUUGAAACUAAAGACAGAGAGAAAAAUUGGCCUAUGUUGCCAGCUCGCUAAUGAGAAGAUUAAGGGAUGGGACUCUGAUGACUCAGCAGCUGUCAUCUAUUUCUUCAUUUAAUUUAUUUUUUAGAAUUUGAAAUUGAUGAUGAGACAGAAAAACCUUGACAUUAAAUUGAUCCAGAAGCAAAGAAAGAAAUUUUUGUAAGUGUUUUUUUAGCUGUUUUUCCCAACCCUAAAGGUAAAAGAGGCAAAUUCUUUUUCUUCUUCUUUUCACACAUAUAUGUAUUUAUAUUUUGCUUUAUAUAUACAUAUAUGAUGUAUUUAUAUUUCACUUUAAAUUUUUUCCUUCAAUAUAAAAUGGCUUUAGCAAGUACAGGAUUCUAAUAGCAUUGUAAGACUCUCAUAAUGAAAUUGUAAUCUUUGACAAUGACAAAUUUGCAAGACUUAGCAAGAUGUGAUAAUUCAUAUUGAUUGAGCAGUGACUUUGAAACUCAUUUGGCCUGAAGUAAUUGAGAGAAAGUUCUGUAUGACAGAAGUAUAUCUCAGCUCUCACUUUACCUUUUGAUGCAUCUAACUUCUUGCUCAUACAAGAGCAAGAACAGAAUAAGUAAGUCAGGCAAAAGUCUCUACUAGAAAAUAGAAGCCCUGACUUAAGAAAACUCUUUGU
rnacentral:lncRNA from 1 species